rnacentral:rRNA from 1 species
GUCGGCAGCUAGCUCUCUGCAACUCUCACAUGGUCACCCACUGAAGCUAAGCAGGGCUGCGCCCGGUCAGUACCUGGAUGGGAGACCACAUGGGAAAGCUAGGUUGCUGCCGGAA